ACGCAGAAAACUAUAUAUAAUGUCAUUGUAUUAUAAAGUCUUAUAAGUUUCGACAAGCCCAUUACAACAUAACCCCUCAAUCUAUUCUCUCUUAUUUUCUCCGGUAUAAUAUUCAUGGUGCACUUUGUUUUUACAAAAUAUCUUAAUUUCCAAUAGUUUUUCCACAUUAAAUGUCGAUAAAUUGGUUUUGUUUUUUAGAUUCGGAGGGUGGCGAGGGAUCUAUUGGUUUUACUAUGAUGUGUGUCUGUGAGCGAAUUUUAUACCAGUAAUCUUAUUCCGAAGUAUCAAGUGUAGCACCUAUUCUGAAUGGUAAUUCUAUUUAGUCGGUGCACCCGU